rnacentral:misc_RNA from 1 species
GAUGAAGAACGCAGCGAAAUGCGAUAAGUAAUGUGAAUUGCAGAAUUCAGUGAAUCAUCGAAUCUUUGAACGCACAUUGCGCCCGCCAGUAUUCUGGCGGGCAUGCCUGUUCGAGCGUCAUUUCAACCAUCAAGCCCCAGGCUUGUGUUGGGGACCUGCGGCUGCCGCAGGCCCUGAAAACCAGUGGCGGGCUCGCUGUCACACCGGGCGUAGUAGAUUUUAUCUCGCUCAGGGCGUGCUGCGGGUCCAGGCCGUUAAAAGCCUUUUUUUACCCAAGGUUGACCUCGGAUCAGGUAGGAAGACCCGCUGAACUUAAGCAUAUCAAUAAGCGGAGGA